rnacentral:SRP_RNA from 1 species
GCUGGGCGUGGUGGCGCACACCUGUAAUCCCAGUUACUCAGGAGGCUGAGGCAGGAGAAUCGCUUGAACCCGGGGUACAGAGGUUGCAGUGAGCAGAGAUCAUGCCACUGCUCUGCAGCCUGGGUGACAGAGUGAGACACUGUCUCAA